CUACGGGGGGCUCCAGUGAGGAAUAUUGCACAAUGGGGGGAACCCUGAUGCAGCAACGCCGCGUGGAGGAUGACGCAUUUCGGUGUGUAAACUCCUUUUAUAUGUCAAGAAAAUGACGGUAGCAUAUGAAUAAGCACCGGCUAACUCCGUGCCAGCAGCCGCGGUAAUACGGAGGGUGCAAGCGUUACUCGGAAUCACUGGGCGUAAAGGACGCGUAGGCGGGGUGGAAAGUCAGGUGUGAAAUCCUACCGCUUAACUGUAGAACUGCACUUGAAACUUCUAAUCUAGAGUAUGGGGGGGGAGAUGGAAUUAGUGGUGUAGGGGUAAAAUCCGUAGAUACCACUAGGAAUACCUAAAGCGAAGGCGAUCUCCUGGAACAUUACUGACGCUAAGGCGUGAAAGCGUGGGGAGCAAACAGGAUUAGAUACCCCGGUAGUC
rnacentral:rRNA from 1 species